ACUUCCCACACAGCAGAGGACUCCGAUGCGGAGCCGCGUUCAAGUCACCACAUCCGUGUCACUGUCACAUUCCUUUGGGUUCCACUUGGUGGAUCAGGGUCGCCACCGUGCGCCGCCCCAACUUCUACCGUCAAAACGCGGACCAUAAUCGCAUCCAUAUCUGAUUCACAAACGCGGACGCGCUGUAAAAUCUAACGGACGUUGGUACAGUUUUUGUUGGGGCAGACACGACCGAACAGCGCUCUCCAUAAACAGGUGGAAUUACCUCUGGGUCGGACAGGGCUAGCCAGCUGUAAUCCACCCUGCUACGGUGAUGCCCGCCUGCCUCCCGGCUUUUACGACCAAGAAUCGGAGCGCUGAUGUGAUGUUUCCCCGUCGACUGAUGAGGCAUGAGAGAAGGAAGAGAAGGCAGCCACGACACGCGAUUGUUCAACAUGACAGUGAGACAGAAAAAUAAUGUCAAGAUAAAUAAAAAAUCA